rnacentral:lncRNA from 1 species
CAAUGAAAUAAUAAUUAUGAAGUGCUUAGCAUGUGGCUUGGCACAUAGUAAGUGCUAUAUGCAUUUUAUCUUUUAUUAUCCUGACUACUAUGCCACCCUGCCCUUUAGAGAGAUUAGAUAAUAUAUUGUCAUUUCAUCACAGUGGUGUGAUUUUGCCCAGCAGUGUUCAUCAGUGGCGGAGAUUUAGGGGAUAUUUCUACAUGGGGACGGAGAUCCAGGAGCUGAUGAGGAGAUCCAUGGACAGGAGACUGAAGGAAGCCCUUAGAAGGACAAGGGAGCUGUUUGGACACCAGAAGAGCCUUCACAUUUUCCAGUAUUGUGGAAUCGGUUUCCAGAGUGUUUCCGUUUCCUGUGAUAAAAGAAGGGUGUUUCCAAGACUCAAGCAGCUGGACAUCCCCUAACAUGUCAGGCAGGAACCUUGCAGAUAAGGGCUCAGUUGAGUCUGAGAUGCUCUCUGCAAGGAACCAAAUCUUCCCAAAGCUCCAAAAGAGAAUGCCUGGUAGUGUAUUUUAAUCUUUACAUGGCGGUAUGUUGGUUGUUUCUGUUGCUGAUAUUGGUAUUGCUUUUAUUAUUGUUGUUGUUGUUUUGGUUAUUAAGCUCGCUUAUAAAGCCUUCCCUUGUCCAUAGUGACCGCUGCUGCUUUUCGCUGUCCCCGACCAUAGUGCUGAAGUAGUUCCCUGCUCCUUGGCUUUCCCUGGCCAUGGUGCUGACAGUAAUAUCAACUUCUAUCUCUUCAUAGAAGCUCUGGCCCUUGGUGUCUGUGUGGUGGUGUGGGGGAUGGAUGUGAGAUGGCACUUGAUUAGACUCUAGAAUCCUUAGGGUUCCUGGGAUUUCUCACUAGCUAAAAGACCCUGGGAUUGGGGAGGGAUCUUGUUUUCUUCUGCUGCUUUGCUCGGUUGUCUUCUCUUCCAGCCACUAAGGACCCAACCUGGACAGUUCACAAGCCCAUCCAGGGUCUGGAGCCUCAGAAAUGCCUGUCUUGAUUCUUUCUUGCUGUCAGCCAGUUGAUUGGACACCUCCAG